rnacentral:pre_miRNA from 1 species
UAUAAUAUUUUAACUCUUCGUCUUAUUUAAAUUUUUUUUGCGGUUAAUAUUUUUAUUCUUAUUAGAUGAUAAAACAUGAAUAGUAUUUUAUGUGUGACUAAUUUUUCUAUGUAUUUUUACAAUUUUUUCAAAUAAGACAAGUGGUUAAACGUUGGACAUAAAAAAAC